AUCAUGAAGCGCCGGGCCUCCUGAGCUCUCAUAUAAUCUGAAUCAGACUCUGGUCUUUCCGAAGGUUCAUAUUCACCACUCUUCUUCACUUCGCGGUUCCCAAGACAAAAAAAUGUCAAGUAGUUUCGAGGAUCAUCCUCAAUACCCUGGGCUCGAAGAGCCUGCACAACAUCUUUAUACAUCAUUUCCAUUGUCCUCCUCUGCCAAUCUAAUAUUGCCUGAACUGAU
rnacentral:misc_RNA from 1 species